rnacentral:rRNA from 1 species
AGUGAACGCUGGCGGUAGGCCUAACACAUGCAAGUCGAACGGCAGCACAGUAAGAGCUUGCUCUUACGGGUGGCGAGUGGCGGACGGGUGAGGAAUACAUCGGAAUCUACUUUUUCGUGGGGGAUAACGUAGGGAAACUUACGCUAAUACCGCAUACGACCUACGGGUGAAAGCAGGGGAUCUUCGGACCUUGCGCGAUUGAAUGAGCCGAUGUCGGAUUAGCUAGUUGGCGGGGUAAAGGCCCACCAAGGCGACGAUCCGUAGCUGGUCUGAGAGGAUGAUCAGCCAAACUGGAACUGAGAAACGGUCCAGCCUCCUACGGGAGGAAGCAGUGGGGAAUAUUGGACAAUGGGCGCAAGCCUGAUCCAGCCAUACCGCGUGGGUGAAGAAGGCCUUCGGGUUGUAAAGCCCUUUUGUUGGGAAAGAAAAGCAGCAGGUUAAUACCCCGCUGUUCUGACGGUACCCAAAGAAUAAGCACCGGCUAACUUCGUG